UUUAUGGAGAGUUUGAUCCUGGCUCAGGAUGAACGCUGGCGGCGUGCCUAAUACAUGCAAGUCGAGCGAACGGACGAGAAGCUUGCUUCUCUGAUGUUAGCGGCGGACGGGUGAGUAACACGUGGAUAACCUACCUAUAAGACUGGGAUAACUUCGGGAAACCGGAGCUAAUACCGGAUGAUAUUUUGAACCG
rnacentral:rRNA from 1 species